AUGCACGCUGGCGGCGUGCCUAAUACAUGCAAGUCGAGCGAACAGACGAGGAGCUUGCCCCUCUGAUGUUAGCGGCGGACGGGUGAGUAACACGUGGAUAACCUACCUAUAAGACUGGGAUAACUUCGGGAAACCGGAGCUAAUACCGGAUAACAUGUUGAACCGCAUGGUUCAACAGUGAAAGACGGUCUUGCUGUCACUUAUAGAUGGAUCCGCGCCGCAUUAGCUAGUUGGUAAGGUAACGGCUUACCAAGGCAACGAUGCGUAGCCGACCUGAGAGGGUGAUCGGCCACACUGGAACUGAGACACGGUCCAGACUCCUACGGGAGGCAGCAGUAGGGAAUCUUCCGCAAUGGGCGAAAGCCUGACGGAGCAACGCCGCGUGAGUGAAGAAGGUCUUCGGAUCGUAAAACUCUGUUAUUAGGGAAGAACAAAUGUGUAAGUAACUAUGCACGUCUUGACGGUACCUAAUCAGAAAGCCACGGCUAACUACGUG
rnacentral:rRNA from 1 species